AGCCUCUGCUCUGUACUUACUGGCGGGCAUUGUGCAAGUUUAUCAGCUGCCACCAACUGGACGUUCAAGUGUUUGCUUUGUGACUUCCCUCUGGACUUGAUCAGUCGCUGCAGAACCUGCCAGGAGGAAAGGGCAAAAGGUGCAGAUUCCACACUGCCCGUUCCCACCCUGCCCUCCAGCUCCCUCCUGGAUCUUAAGCCUCUUUUCCCAGCUGGAAUAUCCCGAGCUAACUGGGAAGGGCAGAACAUCCCAAAGAUGCAGCAGACACCUGCAAGGACUGAGGUGACACCAAGCCAGUGCUCCUAGCAAGGAAAUCCAAAUUAUCCUCUACAGCUCACCAGGAAAUGCUCCAGCUGAAGAUGAACCCUCCUUACAAUUCUUCUUCUGUGCUUUAUUUCUCAGCAUUUCCUUCUUCCAACCACCCUUUCCAGUAUUUUUGCCUACUUAAGGCAGACAAAAUAAAAUCUCAAAUAAGGAAUAUUUUAGAGCUGCUUUUUUCUGAAGUGUUGGGGAGACACUGAGACAGAUUUUUUGUGUUAAACUAAGAAAUCCUAGCCCAGCCAUGGCAGAAAUGCAGACAUGUGCACCCCUAGUAACACAAGAGCUGUGUCCCACUCUUCAGUGGUGACACAAAGCCAGAAAAUCAGCUUUGAUCAUGCAGCAAACCCUCUGGCAUUAAAAAAAAAA